GACGAACGCUGGCGGCGUGCUUAACACAUGCAAGUCGAACGCUGAACCCGCUUCGGUGGGGGAUGAGUGGCGAACGGGUGAGUAACACGUGGGCAACCUGCCCCCGGCUCUGGGAUAACUCCAAGAAAUUGGGGCUAAUACCGGAUGUGACCGCUGGCCGCAUGGUCUGGUGGUGGAAAGGGUUUCCGGCUGGGGAUGGGCCCGCGGCCUAUCAGCUUGUUGGUGGGGUAGUGGCCUACCAAGGCGACGACGGGUAGCCGGCCUGAGAGGGUGACCGGCCAAAAGGGGACUGAGACACGGCCAAGACUCCUAGGGAGGCAGCAGUGGGGAAUAUUGCGCAAUGGGCGGAAGCCUGACGCAGCGACGCCGCGUGGGGGAUGAAGGCCUUCGGGUUGUAAACCUCUUUCAGCAGGGACGAAGCGCAAGUGACGGUACCUGCAGAAGAAGCACCGGCCAACUACGUG
rnacentral:rRNA from 1 species